AUUGGAUGAGCCCGCGGCCUAUCAGCUUGUUGGUGGGGUAACGGCCUACCAAGGCUUCGACGGGUAGUUGGCGUGAGAGCGUGGCCAACCACACUGGGACUGAGACACGGCCCAGACUCCUACGGGAGGCAGCAGUGGGGAAUCUUGCGCAAUGGGCGAAAGCCUGACGCAGCAACGCCGCGUGGAGGAAGAAGGCCUUAGGGUUGUAAACUCCUGUCAGGGGGGAAGAAGGCACCUGGGUUAAUAGCCCAAGGGCUGACGGUACCCCCAGAGGAAGCCACGGCUAACUACGUGCCAGCAGCCGCGGCCGAAU
rnacentral:rRNA from 1 species